AGUGAACGCUGGCGGCAGGCCUAACACAUGCAAGUCGAACGGCAGCACGGCAGUAGCAAUACUGUGGGUGGCGAGUGGCGGACGGGUGAGGAAUACAUGGGAAUCUGCCCAGUCGUGGGGGAUAACGUAUGGAAACGUACGCUAAUACCGCAUGCGCCCUACGGGGGAAAGUCGGGGACCGCAAGGCCUGGCGCGAUUGGAUGAGCCCAUGUUCGAUUAGCUAGUUGGCGGGGUAAAGGCCCACCAAGGCGACGAUCGAUAGCUGGUCUGAGAGGAUGAUCAGCCACACUGGAACUGAGACACGGUCCAGACUCCUACGGGAGGCAGCAGUAGGGAAUAUUGGACAAUGGGGGCAACCCUGAUCCAGCCAUGCCGCGUGAGUGAAGAAGGCCCUCGGGUUGUAAAGCUCUUUUGUCCGGAAAGAAAGCAAUCGGUUAAUACCCAGUUGUUCUGACGGUACCGGAAGAAUAAGCACCGGCUAACUUCGUGCCAGC
rnacentral:rRNA from 1 species